UUAAAGAGGUCUGACUCCACCCUCUGAUGCUCUGAUGAGAUCCAACACUAUGUUCAAGAUCUAGCGGCCCGAUGGAAAGCUACUGGAUUGUGACAAACGGUCCUUCCCAUGUGCGUAUGCCACAGACUCCUGGAGGAGUGUGGAAGCCGGCCUCCUGCCCACUGACUAUGGUCCAGAGCAUGGACAAUGUUUGGGAGCUACCCUGCCCAGCCACCAUUAGCAGCUUGCCUUGGG